CCCUUAGAUGUCCGGGGCUGCACGCGCGCUACACUGAAUGAAUCAGCGUGCUAGAAAACCUUGUUUGACAUGGCUAGGUAACCCAUUGAAAAUCAUUCGUGAUUGGGAUCGGGACUUGCAAAUGUGUCCCUUGAACGAGGAAUUCCCAGUAAGUGCGGGUCAUCAGCUCGCGUUGAUUACGUCCCUGCCCUUUGUACACACCGCCCGUCGCUGCCCGGAACUGAGCCGUUUCGAGAAAGCCGGGGACCGACGGCUUGUGGGUGCGCAAGCACUUCUAGUCGAUGGAAACCAGUUUAAUCGGUAUGGCUUGAACCGGGCAAAAGUCGUAACA
rnacentral:rRNA from 1 species